AUUUGAAAUCUGGCCCCCUCAGGGUCCGAGUUGUAAUUUGCAGAGGGUGCUUUGGCGUUGGCCGCGGUCUAAGUCCCUUGGAACAGGGCGCCGCAGAGGGUGAGAGCCCCGUACGUGGCCGAUGGCCUCCGCCGUGUAAAGCCCCUUCGACGAGUCGAGUUGUUUGGGAAUGCAGCUCUAAAUGGGAGGUAAAUUUCUUCUAAAGCUAAAUACUGGCCAGAGACCGAUAGCGCACAAGUAGAGUGAUCGAAAGAUGAAAAGCACUUUGGAAAGAGAGUCAAAAAGCAUGUGAAAUUGUUGAAAGGGAAGCGCUUGCAGUCAGACUCGCCCGCGGUUGCUCAGCCGGUGCGCCACGCGCCGGUGCACUCUUCCGCGGGCGGGCCAGCGUCAGUUCGGGCGGUCGGACAAAGGCACGCGGCAGGUACCCGCCUCUGCGCGGGACUUAUAUGGCGUGCGGCAUACGAUCAGCCCGGACUGAGGUCCGCGCAUCUGCUAGGACGCUGGCGUAAUGGCUGUAAGCGGCCCGUCUUGAAACACGGACCAAGGAGUCUAACAUCUAUGCGAGUGUUUGGGUGUCAAGCCCGGGCGCGCAAUGAAAGUGAACGGAGGUGGGAUCCCGGUGCACCAUCGACCGAUCCUGAUGUCUUCGGAUGGAUUUGAGUAAGAGCAUAGCUGUUGGGACCCGAAAGAUGGUGAACUAUGCCUGAAUAGGGUGAAGCCAGAGGAAACUCUGGUGGAGGCUCGCAGCGGUUCUGACGUGCAAAUCGAUCGUCAA
rnacentral:rRNA from 1 species